UGAUACCGAAGAAUGCCUCCAACUGAAAGAUAAGAUCAAGUCGCUCAUCCAAUGAGUCUGCUUUGGCAAAUAUAUUCGGGAGCAUCAGAAUCGAAUACUUGAGGAACUACCUUAGCACCAGCCUGACUAAGAGAACAAUAGCAACUGACCAAUGGCUGGUAUCAUCAACAUGAUCUUGAGCCUUGAAGGUAGCAGGGGAU
rnacentral:lncRNA from 1 species